GAAUUAGGCUGUCUAUUGCCUCUUUAGAGUUUUAUCUUAACUUAGUACUAAUAAAUUUAUAAUUUAAUUAUUAGGUGAUCGAGGUCGGCUAUUUUUCUGCAUCCAGCAGCCACAAUAGUCAUCGGUGUACUGCCACAGGAGGAGUUAUUUUACAGAGCAACCUGUUUUCUUCCUCGCAGGUUUAACGUAGAUUAUUUAAUUAUUUUACUAUCUUUUCAAAAUUUAAAAUCUAGAACUCCGCAUGUGUUAGUAAUAGUGUGGCCCUUCAUAGAAAUUGUGUUAAUUUAAAUUUUUGAAAUUAAUAAAUAAAGAUUUGUAUGGUAUUUAAACA